AAGACCGGGUCUCACUCUAUCUCCCAGACUGGAGUGCAGUGGCACAAUCAUAGCUCACUGUAACUUCAAACUUCGGGGCUCAAGCAGUCCUCCCACCUGAUGCUACAGAUGCACACCACCAUACCCUGUUAAUUUUUUAAAAAAAUUUUAUGGAGAUGGGGUCUCACUAUGUUGCCCAAGCUGAUCUCAAACCCCUGGCCUCACGUCAUCUUCCUGCCUCAGCAUCCAAACUGCUGGGACUACAGGCAUGAGCCACUAUGCCCAGCCUAUUUUUUCUUAAUUCAGUAAACUUAUGUAAAUUUGACAAUUAUUCUUUUAACAGACAUUUACUGAGGACGUAGUAAGUACACUAUUUGUCAUUGUUAGACAUUGGGAAUAUAAGAUGAAUAACAGAGUCUCUGCUCUCAAAAAGACUUCUUACUGGUGAAUUUAGGAGAGACAAAGGUAUAUAAACAAGGAAGAGCAAAGGUACUAUGAUAAUAUGUAACCUGGGUGUCAGCUGAGAUCUCCCUGGGUUUUAACCUCUCGGUUAGGAUUGGUUUGAACCUCCAUUCCACCUCAUUUGCAAGUCCAAUGCCCAACCCAAGUUUUUUUCUUAUUUCUGGGGAGCUGAUGUUCUCACUGAACCGCUUUGGCUCUGAACUUCCCCUUACGGUAAACUAGUGAGGUUCAUGGAUGAGCUGCCAUCUGUCCUUAUUCCACAAACAUCCACUCAGAUGUGGAACUUAUCCCUGUUCCUAGGUUUCACCCAAAAGCAUUUUCACAAAGCUCUGUGUGGGCACAGCAGAUUUACUAAGGUUGUGAAAUGAUGAAAGGGAGUUAACAUCACAACAUCACAGAAACACAACUUAAAAGUACUGUAAAUUUCUAUUCUUAAAAGCAGGCCAGGUGUGGUGGCUCAAACCUAUAAUCCCAGCACUUUGGGAGGCCAAGGUGGGUGGAUCGCUUGAGGUCAGGUGUUCAAGACCAGCCUAGUCAAUAUGGUGAAACCCCGUCUGUACUAAAAAUACAGAAAUCAGCUGGGCAUGGUUGUGCAUGCCUGUAAUCCCAGCUACUCAGUAGACUGAAGCAGGAGAAUCUCUUGAAGCUGGGAGGUGGAGGUUGUGUUGAGCGAAGAUCGCACCACUGCACUCCAGCCUUGGUGAAAAAGCACUCCUGCCACAAUAUCGUGCUUCUCCACAGUGCCCCUUUUUCUUCUUUCUACUCAGUCCUCUGCUCUUCCUCACCCACAAAUUCUUAUUUGUUUUUAAUAUUAAGUAGUUUUUUCUUUUC
rnacentral:lncRNA from 1 species